CGUCAGUCUGCCGUCUACCACGUGACAGUAAGUUGUGCUCUCCCGGCGCCCCGCGAAUUAGCUUUCAGCUAACUUGUUAGCAGGCUAGCUGUGUUGCUGUAGGCCUAAAAGAGACACAUUUAUGUUGUUGUAGGCCUAAAAGAGACACAUUUAUGUUGCUGUAGACCUAAAAGAGACACAUUUAUGUCAAGUUUUGUUUCGUUUUAUUCCUGCCCGGGUUUAUAAAUGUAAGCUUCACACAGCAGACAUGGCUUUGGCAUAGGUCUGGGCUCUACAAGUUGCUAUUUUUGGGACGUUCAUCCUCCACUGUUGCCAUUUCUAAUAUAAAAUUGUCAAGACUUGGACUAUGACGUGGAUUGUUUCUACGGCGCAAAGGAAAAUUGGCUCGAGCCAGACGUGAAUGUAGUACCCAACUCCGGAGUAAGGUGCAGUACCGGAGUCCACCAAAGAGGCGGCAGAUGUAUACAUACCCUGCAUUAAGACCCAGAAGAAGAAGUGCUUCAGCUGCAGUUUGUGGGGGAAUGCUGUCAACACGACUAUUAGGACGUUUUAAACAAAAAGUACCGAGCUGGAUGGACAACAACGCCAGAUGUGAUCAACCAAGCGAGGAUUCAGGGGACACGUGGUGCAAAAUCGCCGCCGCGGGGUCGGCCCAUUCCAGAUGAUGCCGGGGGUGAUUGGCGGCGGCGUCUACGUGCCACGGGUGAGCGCUUCGGUUAGACACGGCGCCUUAUUGGACGGGAC